rnacentral:rRNA from 1 species
GACGAACGCUGGCGGCGUGCUUAACACAUGCAAGUCGAACGGAAAGGCCCUGCUUUUGUGGGGUGCUCGAGUGGCGAACGGGUGAGUAACACGUGAGUAACCUGCCCUUGACUUUGGGAUAACUUCAGGAAACUGGGGCUAAUACCGGAUAGGAGCUCCUGCUGCGUGGUGGGGGUUGGAAAGUUUCGGCGGUUGGGGAUGGACUCGCGGCUUAUCAGCUUGUUGGUGGGGUAGUGGCUUACCAAGGUUUUGACGGGUAGCCGGCCUGAGAGGGUGACCGGCCACAUUGGGACUGAGAUACGGACCAGACUCCUACGGGAGGCAGCAGUGGGGAAUAUUGCACAAUGGGCGGAAGCCUGAUGCAGCAACGCCGCGUGCGGGAUGACGGCCUUCGGGUUGUAAACCGCUUUCGCCUGUGACGAAGCGUGAGUGACGGUAAUGGGUAAAGAAGCACCGGCUAACUACGUG